GAAGAACGCUGGCGGCGUGCCUAAUACAUGCAAGUCGAGCGAACGGACGAGAAGCUUGCUUCUCUGAUGUUAGCGGCGGACGGGUGAGUAACACGUGGAUAACCUACCUAUAAGACUGGGAUAACUUCGGGAAACCGGAGCUAAUACCGGAUAAUAUUUUGAACCGCAUGGUUCAAAAGUGAAAGACGGUCUUGCUGUCACUUAUAGAUGGAUCCGCGCUGCAUUAGCUAGUUGGUAAGGUAACGGCUUACCAAGGCAACGAUGCAUAGCCGACCUGAGAGGGUGAUCGGCCACACUGGAAUUGAGACACGGUCCAGACUCCUACGGGAGGCAGCAGUAGGGAAUCUUCCGCAAUGGGCGAAAGCCUGACGGAGCAACGCCGCGUGAGUGAUGAAGGUCUUCGGAUCGUAAAACUCUGUUAUUAGGGAAGAACAUAUGUGUAAGUAACUGUGCACAUCUUGACGAUACCUAAUCAGAAAGCCACGGCUAACUACGUG
rnacentral:rRNA from 1 species